GAUUAGGAUUUGAUUUAGGAUUUAGGAUUUGGUCAAGGUUUGAUUUAGUGUUUGAUUUAGGAUUUGGUUGGAGUUUGGUUUAAGAUUUAUUUAGGAUUUGAUUUAGGGUUUAGGAUUUUAUUAGGAUUUAAGAUUUAAUUAGGUUUGCCUAAAGUUUUAAUGAAGUUGAAUAGGAUUUUAACUAGAAUUAAGAUUUUGUUAUUGCAAUUUCCAUUCUUCCUUCCACAGCCAGGUGCUCGGAGCAUUCUCAAGCAAGUCUUCACGUAUUACAACAACGGUUUGAUUUUGAUCUUAGUUCAUAAGUAGCCC
rnacentral:lncRNA from 1 species